UACGUGGGAGGCGAGCGUUGUCCGGAAUUACUGGGCGUAAAGAGUGCGUAGGCGGUUCUUGAAGUCCGCUGUGAAAGCCCCGGGUUUAACCUGGGAAUGGCAGUGGAAACUGGAGGACUUGAAUUGAGCAGAGGGGGGUGGAAUGCCGCGUGUAGCAGUGAAAUGCGUAGAGAUGCGGCGGAACACCGAUGGCGAAGGCAGCCCCCUGGGCUUAAAUUGACGCUGAGGCACGAAAGCGUGGGGAGCAAACAGG
rnacentral:rRNA from 1 species